GCUCAGGAUGAACGCUAGCUACAGGCUUAACACAUGCAAGUCGAGGGGUAGCAGGGUAGCAAUACCGCUGACGACCGGCGCACGGGUGAGUAACACGUAUCCAACCUUCCCAUUACACGGGGAUAGCCUUUCGAAAGAAAGAUUAAUACCCGAUAGUACUUUUUCGAGGCAUCUCGUAAAAAGUUAAAGAUUUAUUGGUAAUGGAUGGGGAUGCGUUCCAUUAGAUUGUUGGUGAGGUAACGGCUCACCAAGUCUUCGAUGGAUAGGGGUUCUGAGAGGAAGGUCCCCCACAUUGGUACUGAGACACGGACCAAACUCCUACGGGAGGCAGCAGUGAGGAAUAUUGGUCAAUGGGCGAGAGCCUGAACCAGC
rnacentral:rRNA from 1 species